rnacentral:sRNA from 1 species
AGAUAAAAAGAGACCGAAUACGAUUCCUGU